rnacentral:rRNA from 1 species
AGUCGAGCGGUAGAGAGAAGCUUGCUUCUCUUGAGAGCGGCGGACGGGUGAGUAAAGCCUAGGAAUCUGCCUGGUAGUGGGGGAUAACGUUCGGAAACGGACGCUAAUACCGCAUACGUCCUACGGGAGAAAGCAGGGGACCUUCGGGCCUUGCGCUAUCAGAUGAGCCUAGGUCGGAUUAGCUAGUUGGUGAGGUAAUGGCUCACCAAGGCGACGAUCCGUAACUGGUCUGAGAGGAUGAUCAGUCACACUGGAACUGAGACACGGUCCAGACUCCUACGGGAGGCAGCAGUGGGGAAUAUUGGACAAUGGGCGAAAGCCUGAUCCAGCCAUGCCGCGUGUGUGAAGAAGGUCUUCGGAUUGUAAAGCACUUUAAGUUGGGAGGAAGGGCAGUUACCUAAUACGUGAUUGUUUUGACGUUACCGACAGAAUAAGCACCGGCUAACUCUGUGCCAGCAGCCGCGGUAAUACAGAGG